CCUACGGGAGGCAGCAGUGAGGAAUAUUGGUCAAUGGACGAGAGUCUGAACCAGCCAAGUAGCGUGAAGGAUGACUGCCCUAUGGGUUGUAAACUUCUUUUAUAUGGGAAUAAAAUGUUCCACGUGUGGCAUUUUGUAUGUACCAUAUUAAUAAGGAUCGGCUAACUCCGUGCCAGCAGCCGCGGUAAUACGGAGGAUCCGAGCGUUAUCCGGAUUUAUUGGGUUUAAAGGGAGCGUAGGUGGAUUGUUAAGUCAGUUGUGAAAGUUUGCGGCUCAACCGUAAAAUUGCAGUUGAAAAUGGCAGUCUUGAGUACAGUAGAGGUGGGCGGAAUUCGUGGUGUAGCGGUGAAAUGCUUAGAUAUCACGAAGAACUCCGAUUGCGAAGGCAGCUCACUGGACUGCAACUGACACUGAGGCUCGAAAGUGUGGGUAUCAAACAGGAUUAGAUACCCCUGUAGUC
rnacentral:rRNA from 1 species